CGGCCCAGACUCCUACGGGAGGCAGCAGUGGGGAAUUUUGGACAAUGGGCGCAAGCCUGAUCCAGCCAUGCCGCGUGCAGGAUGAAGGCCUUCGGGUUGUAAACUGCUUUUGUACGGAACGAAAAGGUGCCUUCUAAUAAAGGGCGCUCAUGACGGUACCGUAAGAAUAAGCACCGGCUAACUACGUGCCAGCAGCCGCGGUAAUACGUAGGGUGCGAGCGUUAAUCGGAAUUACUGGGCGUAAAGCGUGCGCAGGCGGUUUUGUAAGACAGAGGUGAAAUCCCCCGGGCUCAACCUGGGAACUGCCUUUGUGACUGCAAGGCUGGAGUGCGGCAGAGGGGGAUGGAAUUCCGCGUGUAGCAGUGAAAUGCGUAGAUAUGCGGAGGAACACCGAUGGCGAAGGCAAUCCCCCUGGGCCUGCACUGACGCUCAUGCACGAAAGCGUGGGGAGCAAACAGGAUU
rnacentral:rRNA from 1 species